rnacentral:rRNA from 1 species
GUGCCAGCAGCCGCGGCGGCUGACACGGAGGAUGCAAGCGUUAUCCGGAAUUAUUGGGCGUAAAGCGUCCGCAGGCGGCUAGAUAAGUCUGCUUUCAAAGAGUGGGGCUCAACCCCAUAGGGGGAGUGGAAACUGUUUAGCUAGAGUAUGGUAGGGGCAGAGGGAAUUCCCAGUGUAGCGGUGAAAUGCGUAGAUAUUGGGAAGAACACCAGUGGCGAAGGCGCUCUGCUGGACCGAGACUGACGCUGAGGGACGAAAGCUAGGGGAGCGAAAGGGAUUAGAUACCCCUGUAGUCCUAGCUGUAAACGAUGGACACUAGGUGUUGCGCGUAUCGACCCGUGCAGUGCCGUAGCUAACGCGUUAAGUGUCCCGCCUGGGGAGUACGCACGCAAGUGUGAAACUCAAAGGAAUUGGCGG